rnacentral:rRNA from 1 species
CCUACGGGUGGCAGCAGUGGGGAAUAUUGCGCAAUGGGCGAAAGCCUGACGCAGCGACGCCGCGUGAGGGAUGAAGGUCUUCGGAUCGUAAACCUCUGUCAGCAGGGAAGAACGGUCACUGUGCUAAUCAGCAGUGAAUUGACGGUACCUGCAAAGGAAGCACCGGCUAACUCCGUGCCAGCAGCCGCGGUAAUACGGAGGGUGCGAGCGUUAAUCGGAAUUACUGGGCGUAAAGCGCUCGUAGGCGGUAUGUCAAGUCAAGGGUGAAAUCCCCGCGCUCAACGUGGGAACUGCAUUUGAAACUGGCAAACUGGAGUGUGGGAGAGGAUAGUGGAAUUCCAGGUGUAGGAGUGAAAUGCGUAGAUAUCUGGAGGAACAUCAGUGGCGAAGGCGACUAUCUGGCACAUAACUGACGCUGAGGAGCGAAAGCGUGGGUAGCAAACAGGAUUAGAUACCCGAGUAGUC